rnacentral:rRNA from 1 species
UUCCGGUUGAUCCUGCCGGAGGCCAUUGCUAUCGGUGUCCGAUUUAGCCAUGCGAGUCGCACGUAUAACGUGGCAAACGGCUCAGUAACACGUGGCCAAGCUACCCUAUGGACGAUCAUAACCUCGGGAAACUGAGGCUAAUAAUCGAUAGUGCUCCCGAGCUGGAAUGCUGGGAGCAUGAAAUGCUCCGGCGCCAUAGGAUGCGGCUGCGGCCGAUUAGGUAGAUGGUGGGGUAACGGCCCACCAUGCCGAUAAUCGGUACGGGUAGUGAGAGCUAGAGCCCGGAGACGGACUCUGAGACAAGAGUCCGGGCCCUACGGGGCGCAGCAGGCGCGAAACCUUUACACUGCACGACAGUGCGAUAGGGGGACACCGAGUGCGAGGGCAUAGAGCCCUCGCUUUUGUGUACCGUAAGGUGGUACACGAAUAAGGGCUGGGCAAGACCGGUGCCAGCCGCCGCGGUAACACCGGCAGCCCAAGUGAUGGCCGAUAUUAUUGGGCCUAAAGCGUCCGUAGCUGGCCGAGUAAGUCUUUCGGGAAAUCCGCUGGCCUAACCAGUGGGCGUCCGGAGGAUACUGCUCGGCUUGGGACCGGGAGACCAAAGGGGUACGUCCGGGGUAGGAGUGAAAUCCCGUAAUCCUGGACGGACCACCGGUUGCGAAAGCGCCUUUGGAGAACGGAUCCGACAGUGAGGGACGAAAGCUAGGGUCUCGAACCGGAUUAGAUACCCGGGUAGUCCUAGCCGUAAACGAUGAUCGCUAGGUGUGGCACAGGCUACGAGCCUGUGCUGUGCCGUAGGGAAGCCGUGAAGCGAUCCGCCUGGGAAGUACGUCCGCAAGGAUGAAACUUAAAGGAAUUGGCGGGGGAGCACUACAACCGGAGGAGCCUGCGGUUUAAUUGGAUUCAACGCCGGAAAUCACUAGUGAA